rnacentral:hammerhead_ribozyme from 1 species
AUCCAACUGACGAGUCCAAAAUAGGACGAAACACGCGUCCUGAAG